rnacentral:rRNA from 1 species
AGAUUGAACGCUGGCGGCAGGCCUAACACAUGCAAGUCGAGCGGUAGAGAGGUGCUUGCACCUCUUGAGAGCGGCGGACGGGUGAGUAAUGCCUAGGAAUCUGCCUAGUGGUGGGGGAUAACGUUCGGAAACGGACGCUAAUACCGCAUACGUCCUACGGGAGAAAGCGGGGGACCUUCGGGCCUCGCGCCAUUAGAUGAGCCUAGGUCGGAUUAGCUAGUUGGUGAGGUAAUGGCUCACCAAGGCGACGAUCCGUAACUGGUCUGAGAGGAUGAUCAGUCACACUGGAACUGAGACACGGUCCAGACUCCUACGGGAGCAGCAGUGGGAAUAUUGGACAAUGGGCGAAAGCCUGAUCCAGCCAUGCCGCGUGUGUGAAGAAGGUCUUCGGAUUGUAAAGCAACUUUAAGUUGGAGAAGGUUGUAACCUAAUACGUUGCAACUUUGACGUUACCGACAGAAUAAGCACCGGCUAACUUCGUGCCAGCAGCCG